UACGAAGGGGGCUAGCGUUGUUCGGAAUUACUGGGCGUAAAGCGUACGUAGGCGGAUUGUUAAGUGAGGGGUGAAAUCCCGAGGCUCAACCUCGGAACUGCCUUUCAUACUGGCAAUCUUGAGUCCGGGAGAGGUGAGUGGAACUCCUAGUGUAGAGGUGAAAUUCGUAGAUAUUAGGAAGAACGCCAGUGGCGAAGGCGGCUCACUGGCCCGGAACUGACGCUGAGGUACGAAAGCGUGGGGAGCAAACAGG
rnacentral:rRNA from 1 species